AUUGAACGCUGGCGGCAGGCCUAACACAUGCAAGUCGAACGAGUGGCGGACGGGUGAGUAAUGUCUGGGAAACUGCCUGAUGGAGGGGGAUAACUACUGGCAACGGUAGCUAAUACCGCAUACCAUCAGAUGUGCCCAGAUGGGAUUAGUUUGUUGGUGGGGUAACGCCUCACAAAGGCGACGAUCCCUAGCUGGUCGGAGAGGAGGACCAGCACCACUGGAACGGAGACACGGUCCAGAGUCCUACGGAGGCCGGCAGUGGGGAACAUUGCACAAUGGGGGCAGGCCUGAUGCAGCCAUGCCGCGUGUAUGAAGAGGGCCUUCGGGUUGUAAGGUACUUUCAGCGGGACGGCGUUACCCGCAGAGGAAGCACCGGCUAACUCCGUGCCAGCCGCCGCGGUAAUAC
rnacentral:rRNA from 1 species